UAUGCAGCAACGGUCAUCUUUUAUACUCUUCGUUUCUCACCACAUUUUUAGAAAAUGGAAAAAGUUCCGGCCCUUGUGACUGUACACAAUCAAGUUUACAGUAUUUUCAGCUCAAGCUGAUCAUAAAUAAAAUGGUAAAUAGUACGCAAGUGAAGGAAAAAAUCAAAAACAAAGUCAAUUAUUGCUUCUUCAUCCAUUCUUAACAAAUAUGUCCAAAGCGACCAUCUCCAGUACCUUGCUUGCUAAGAGGACAAGAUCAAAAUCACAACUAAUAUGCUCC
rnacentral:lncRNA from 1 species